rnacentral:rRNA from 1 species
CACGUAGGGGGCGAGCGUUGUCCGGAUUUAUUGGGCGUAAAGAGCUCGUAGGCGGCUCAGUAAGUCAGGUGUGAAAACUCCAGGCUCAACCUGGAGACGCCACCUGAUACUGCUGUGGCUAGAGUCCGGUAGGGGAGCAUGGAAUUCCUGGUGUAGCGGUGAAAUGCGCAGAUAUCAGGAGGAACACCAGUGGCGAAGGCGGUGCUCUGGGUCGGAACUGACGCUGAGGAGCGAAAGCGAGGGGAGCGAAUGGG